rnacentral:rRNA from 1 species
GACAGAGGCCUCGAGCGUUAGGCGGAAUCACUGGGCUUAAAGCGUGUGUAGGCGGAUCGUUAAGUGCCUUGUGAAAUCCCACGGCUCAACCGUGGAACUGCUUGGCAUACUGGCGGUCUUGAGCCAUCUAGGGGUUGCUGGAACAAACGGUGGAGCGGUGAAAUGCGUAGAUAUCGUUUGGAACGCCAAUGGUGAAAACAGGCAACUGGGGAUGUGCUGACCGGCUGAGACACGGAAAGCCAGGGGAGCAAACGGG